GUGUUUGCUCCAAAACUAUGAAUAUGGUUAUUUUUCAAGAAUUUUUCUAUGUCAAAAUUCAACCAUUUAUCAAGUUCUGGUGUAUAAACCACAAAAUGGAUGAAAAAUUUUACGUUUUUUCUACGCCAUAUUGGAAGCUACCGUGGAGUGAACCGAAAGUGUUUCGGAUUUAAUUUGUUCGCACAAGGCUGGAGAGAUUCUUAAGUGCACCAAUUGGACGAAUCUGUGGCAGUCCGGUUCCAGUUCCAGCACCUAAAGCGGGGCUAUAACUUACUUCCGGAACGAGCGCACAUAUAGUGAUUCAAAAACUGGCCCUCCCGACCAUUCUCCAUAACAUUCGGUUGAAGCUGAGAUGGGUAGACAGUCCAAAAAACUCCACCCACCGGAGUGGAAUUGCGUUCAACAUAAGAGUCUGUGCUACAGUUGCUUCAUCCGGAACCUCCCAGAUGCAUUAACACAAAGCAGAAAAAAGGAACCGCCUGACGAAAUGCCGUUUUUGGAAAAACUCCCUUGUCAGCCAGUCGUCCUCGAAAUAACUAAUAGCAUCGUUGACGAAAAUGUUAUUCUCAAGAAUGAAAUCCGUCCCCAGAGCGUCUCGCGACAACUGGUCCGCAUAAUCGUUCCCCGGAAGCUCGAUAUGUCC